UCUGGGAAUCCUCUAAAAAGCUUUUGAACUACAUAAUCUUUGACAUCUUUUUUUUCCUCUUGUCUGUUUUAGAUUCCUCCAUCUUCUGCAGCAUGUGAAAGAAACCAGUCAACAUUAGAAAAUAUGCACCCCAAAUCAAGAAACUGGUUAAGAUAUGAAAGAGAUAUAUCAAAUGGGAACAAUAGCAAGCAAACAAACAAGAAAUUAAGUACCUUGGUGCAGCUCCUGUUUUAAUACUACUUUCCGACAGGAUCCAAGCAUAAGUGAUUUGUGGAAGAGGCAACAUCAAGCCGAAAACAGCAGCUAUUUUGUGUCGUAUAUCAACCACCUUUUUAAUUGCAGCCUGGCCUUUCAAUUAACUGUGAAAAAUUCAAACUGGAUUCAAAUACCUGGAAAAAUAUUGCUUAUACCUAAAACAUUAGCAAGGAUAUAAGAAAAACAAAACAAAGAAAGCUGGCAACUGGGACACAGGAAGGCAUAAAACUGCUAUCUUAUUCAAUGGAGCACUACAUUCAUCUUAACAUGUGGAAGCAUUUCUUGCCCCUUCCUCUCUUUCUCGUAAUACUGUCCAAGGUGUGUCAGUGACUUCUGUUUUAAUCUACAAAUUAUAACUAUGGGAAAAUAAUUUCAGGUUGAAUGGUACUUUGAAUAUGCACAUACCUGGGAAGUCAAUGGGAGUUGUACAUGAAUAUCCACUGGCAGAAUCUCAUUCAUGGUGAGCAAACUGGCUAUUAUGAAGUUCCCUGGGCUACACCCUCACACACUGUAAUUCUGAGUGCAGUACAUACUGGGUGCAUCUACACAUGCAUUUACUUUGGUCCAAAUUUACUCUGGUGUAAACUACUUGAGAGUAAGGGUAUUUGGGCAGGUGUCUACACAUGCAACAGGGAGAAAAUUUGAACCCAGUUCCCAGUGGCCUUGCAAUGGGCCCCUGCCACCACUGCGGGGAACUCCAGGCUCCCCCUGGGUGCCAGCCCAGGGACUGGCAGGGAGCACUGGGCCAGGAACAAGCUCCCAGUCCCCACUCUGAAAUCACAAUCAGGAAGCAGGGGGCUGAACACUCCUUGCUGCUGGGGCAGGGGGAGAUUGUUCCCACCCAGGCAUGCAGGGCAGGGGUUGGGGAGCUUGUUCCUCACCUAACUCCAUGAGUGAAGAGCUGGUCAAGGAACAGGCUCCCCAGAUUGUGGAGCUGGGUAGGGAACAGGUUCCUCUGCUCCUGCCAUCAGGGAGCUCCCAGCACUGGCCCCAUGGUCACCGGGCUUGGGCUACCCUUAUCUCCCAGCCAGAACCCUGUGACCACACGGCUCAGGUUGGGAGAUAAGGAUCUCCCAGCCCCUGCUCCCUGUUUGUGAUCUAGGAGCAGGGGGCUUGGAGUUCCCUGCUGCCAGGGCAGGGGGAUGUAGUCAGGGCAGGGGGACAUAGCUAUGGGGCUGUUAUUAAUCCCGAGUAAAUUUGCUCCUUGCAUUUGCAAGUUUACUGCAAAAUAAGCAUGUGCAUGUGUAGAUGCACAUGCUUACUUCACAAUAAAUUAUGCUAACGUGAGGUUAAGUGUCUCGUGUAGAUGCACCCACUGUGAUACUUUUUUGUUGUGCCACAGGCCUGUUGAAGCCUUAAGUUCUUUCCACUAGUCUUCAUCUGAAGAUGAAGAUAAGCAAGACAUGCAAAUGCAUUCCAUAGGAGGUUUUCAGAAGUGCUUGGAAAUAAAUGAAGUAAUCAACAUUUUACCAUUUUCAGUAAAAAAAGAAAAGAAAAAAAGGAAAGAAAGAAAAAAAAAAAGCUAUUAGUAAACAGUAGAGAGUAGUUAUUUAGCAUGGUGCACAGAGAAUCAGACUAACAGCUAUCUUCAUAAUAAUUAGAAUUGCAUGUAUAAUUCCAUGAUUCCUUGCUGAGAAAUGCUAGUAGCUGUAUGGAAUUUAAGUACAAGUAAAGUUGUCUGCAACUUCAAAUCUCAUUCCCUAAGGUUCUAAAUAAUUUUUAUUUUGGCAUACAAAUCUGUAGUAAUGCAAAUCUUGUUCCAGUAUUCUGCCAGCAGAUUGUCUCUUAACUGCAUAAUUUUGCAUCAGUCUGGGCUGGUGAGAAAAGCUCUGUACAAACCAUAUGUUAUACUGCUUCUCUAAAAGAUACAAUGGGAUAUUUUUCAGGUAUUUUAGUUGUCACUGAACCCUUAACUGCUCUUCUAAAUAGAAUGUUUUUAAAUGCCAAAGGAAAUCUUGAUCUAGAAGCCUUUAUUUCCAGAGAUGCUACUAUAGUAGUUUAAAUGCAUAAAAAAAGAUUUGCAGGAAAAAUAGGAUCGUCUCUCAAAUGCUGAAUGGAAGAAUUCUUAGUGUCCAUAGAUCCAAAGGAAAGUCAUUUUUCUAAGUGUCAUGAAAAUUAAACAUUUAAUUUAUAUUUUCCUAUUUUUUCCACUAUCUACAUGAAAAAAGGUAAGGUAUUUAUACAGGAAUAUAUAAAUUAUAUAGCUAUAAAUAUUUAUUUAUACAGAUACACAAGGGACCUGAAAAUGAACUUCAAAGAAUUGCAUUUGCCUGUAUCUAGUUUCUCUAACUUACAGGGCAAGUUUUUCUUUUAUCUUUGCUCUAUGUGAAAUGAUAUUGUAGCAUUUUAGUGCAGAUCUUGCAAUGUUAUAAACAUUCUUUUGAUUCUCUUGGUUUUGUAAUAUGCAUUGUGAAAUAUAAUAUCUAUAUGAUCAUAUAGUUUUACUGCAAAUUUGUUUAUUUUUUAAAAUAAUGCAUACUUCAUGGGUCACAAUUUUGGGAGCAAGAAACAAAUACAAGCUUCAGGGUGAAAUUUCCAUCAUCUGAAAUGACUGCUCAAAUGGCUACCUCCAAAAGGAGGGUAAUCAACCUGGCAAUGAGCUGCCAAUGAUUGGAUGUUAGGGCAAUAUCUGUUUGUCUACCUGUUUCUUGCUUUGGUAAUCAUGCACAACUUUGUUUGCAGAAGAUUUAGCAGUUGUUCAAGCUUGUAAGUGCUUCAGAUUCCUGCAAACUUGAAUAUACUGCCUCAGGUAGCUUAAAGAAGUUGUUUUCUUACCAUAUUUCAGGGUUUUUCUGCCUUUUGCAUUAUAGUUACAGUUGAUGUGAAUUCUAUGGGCUAUGGCGAUAGCAUAAUUUCCAUAGUUCACUUCCAUUUAAAAUCAUGUCUGUUUAAAAUAUUAUCAGUAUAAAAUGAGCAAUAAAAAUACACAAUUCUUUUCUCCCCCUGGCUUCACCUUGAAUUAUAGCCAAGUUAAUGUAACAAAGGUGACUCUAGGCUUUGAAGAUGCCAUUUAAAUCACCACAUUAGCAUAGUUAUAAUUGAUUUAAAGAGAAUUGGUAGA